GGAAUAUUGGACAAUGGGCGAAAGCCUGAUCCAGCCAUGCCGCGUGUGUGAAGAAGGUCUUCGGAUUGUAAAGCACUUUAAGUUGGGAGGAAGGGUUGUAGAUUAAUACUCUGCAAUUUUGACGUUACUCACAGAAGAAGCACCGGCUAACUCCGUGCCAGCAGCCGCGGUAAUACGGAGGGUGCAAGCGUUAAUCGGAAUUACUGGGCGUAAAGCGCGCGUAGGUGGUUCGGUAAGUUGGAUGUGAAAUCCCCGGGCUCAACCUGGGAACUGCAUUCAAAACUGUCGAGCUAGAGUAUGGUAGAGGGUGGUGGAAUUUCCUGUGUAGCGGUGAAAUGCGUAGAUAUAGGAAGGAACACCAGUGGCGAAGGCGACCACCUGGACUGAUACUGACACUGAGGUGCGAAAGCGUGGGGAGCAAAC
rnacentral:rRNA from 1 species